GCAUAUAAUUAGGCGGAGGAAAAGAAAUUAACGAAGAUUUCCCUAGUAACGGCGAGUGAAAAGGAAAUAGUUCAGCGCUGAAUCCCUUAGCCCAUGGUUAAGGGACCUGUGGCGUGAAGGAGAGCCUAUCUGUCGGGUUGUAUACUUCGGAAUAUCCCUCGAAUGGGAACCCAAAGCAGGUGCGAGGCCUGUAACGAGGCGAUACCCGUCAGUUUGCGCCUCCAUAGAGUCGGGUUACUUGAGAGUGUAGCCCAAAGCGGAAGGUAAACCCCUUCUAAAACUAAAUAUUACCACGAGACCGAUAGCGAACAAGUACCGCGAGGGAAAGUUGAAAAGAACUUUGAAGAGAGAGUUCAAAAGGGCGUGAAACCGCUUAGAAGAAAACGGACGGAGCCGUCGGGGCCUUUGGGAAUCAGUCUUACGAUACGCGAAGGUAUCGCGGUCCAGAGCGCAAGUCUGGCCGUGGUAUAGUAAGUAAGUAGCGUUCGUUUGGCGCAUUUCUCGAGGGUAAGCACUGCGACCGAUACGAAAGGCCAGCGAGGCGAUUAGAUUGAGGGCGAGAGCUCUCGCGGGUUCACGUAACCAGUCUAUUCGUAUAGUCGUUGGACCGCAGUAUGUAUCGAGAGCCAAAGUAAGUAAUAUACGUUGGCGUAAGCGCUCGCUCGAAUAACGGAUAGUUGGUCAAUAGGUUGGUAUCUGCUCGCAGGUGCUAGCUUAUUCGAUUCGACUCUUGAAGUUAUCGGCGACUCUAACGUAUAGGCGUCAGCAGUGUCAGUGUCGGUCACCCGUCCGACCCGUCUUGAAACACGGACCAAGGAGUCUAACAUAUGCGCGAGCUAAUGGGUGGAAAACCCAAAGGCGCAAUAAAAGUAAAAGCUGUUUCGGACAGCCGAGGUACGAUCCUAGGAUCCGAGCGAUACUAGGCGCAGUACCGUCCCGUCCCGACCGCAUAUCGGUAGGGCGGAGAUAGAGUGCAUACGUUGGGACCCGAAAGAUGGUGAACUAUGCCUGAGCAGAGCGAAGCCAGAGGAAACUCUGGUGGAGGUUCGUAGCGGUUCUGACGUGCAAAUCGAUCGUCAGACUUGGGUAUAGGGGCGAAAGACUAAUCGAACCAUC
rnacentral:rRNA from 1 species